rnacentral:lncRNA from 1 species
UGGGCUGGCCCAAUUUUACCCUUUUCUCCUUUUACAGCUCCCAUCACCAGCUUUUCCUCCUCAAGCCUGCACUGCACACCAACUGGGAUGGAGGGUACAGAUGAAUAAAGGCAAAUCCAUCGCCAUAAGUAAGAAAACCCUUCCACACUUCCUCCCUCAUAAUUUGUUGUAGAUUUGUUGCCAUCUGCAAAGCCAGAAAGACAACUCCAGCACUUCCUGACCAUCUUGAGACCCACUUAAACUUCCUGAGACUGUGAAAAUCUCUCCUAUUUAUUCAUUUACUAGAAGUCCCCUGGUCCCCCAGCAAAUACACAUGCCUUGCAGAACCUAGAAGAGUAAUCGGAAACUCUCCAGCAGUUAUGAGCCAUAGUUUAAAAACCUCUGAACUCACAAAAUUAUCAUUCUGUCCCAGAUUUACCGAAUUGUGGUGAUUAUAGCGUAGACUCUGCAGUUCUGGUUGAGAGGUCAAUUUAAUUAGAAGCCUCUAUCUUCAGGCUCUUAUAACUCCACCCCAUACCCCUUUCCCAAAAAUAAUUCUUUAGGAUGAAAUUUCUAAUACUGUCUCUCAGCCUAAAGGUAUAUUUUCUCGUAGAAGGUUGAGUAAGGUUUCAUUUAGGCUAUUUUUAAAACAUAAGAAAAAGGGCAAAAAAGGGGGAUUUCACCACUUAAGAAAUCACUCAGACACUUUUUUUUACUGUUUUUUUUUUCCUAAAUGCAAACGGCUUCCUUUAGAACUUUCAAGUUGUCCUUCUUAGUGCCUUUGGCAUGUUUGAAGAAAUUUGGUUAAGCUGUGAUGAAGUUGUUCACAAAAUGUGAAUUGCCCAUAAGUAGAUUUAUUUCCACUCUUUAAAAGAAACUUGCAUGGAAAUGUUACAUGGAAAUUAUGAUAAAAAUCAGUUCUAUGAAAAAAGGUCUCUCUCUCUCUCUCUCUCUCUGUGUGUGUGUGUGUGUGUGUGUGUGUGUGUGUGUGUGUUAUAGAUGCAUUAAUAUCUUACCAAUGAAAAUGUCAUUGGUCAACCACAUGGCCUGUUACCAAAAAUGACCUUAGAAGUAUUUAGUCCAGGUCCUGUUUACAGUGAGAAGACUGAGGUCCAAAGGCUUAUAUAAAUGUUUUAGUCUGGAUGAAAAAUAAAUGAUUGACUCUGAAACAUGUAUCUUACAUAGAGAACACAGACUCAUAAAACAAAUGUAAAUUAUAUGACCACGUUACCAUUUUGGAGGGAAAGGAGGGCCUCUAGCCCAGGGAAGGUUAUAAUUUUCACCACUCCUGGCACAUCACGUGGUGGGAAGUGGGGUGGAGGCCAAGGCAACCUCGCGGCAGCCUGCAGAUCCCUGGGGGCACUGGCUUGUCUUCUUCCAGUCAGGCAUGGAAAAGCAAUUCCAAUACCAAGUUCCUACAGCAAGAACCAGGUGGAUUCUUCCUUUAUGGAUAACCAGGUACAGUCAUGGCUUCUAUUAAGAGUGGCCAGGAAUUUCUUGACUGAGGUCACACAUGUAGUAACAUCUCAUUGCUUUCCUCAAAUUAUAUCGCUAAAAACUAAUCACAUCAUAAAAUUCAAAUGCAGCAUCUAAGCCUAAAUGAAAACAAAUGCUAAAUUGCAUAGUCUUGUUUAUUCUUGCUGUUUUGAUUAUUUGCUGCCCACAACUAAUUUAAGGGACAGUCUGGUGGCCAAAGAUACAUAGCUUCAUUACAACCGAGCAUUUCCUUAGAGGACCCAGGUUCCAAAAAGAGAAUUUUUCUGGAACCAUGACCAAUGCAUUGGGACAAUUAGCUGCACAGUUGAACUAUAGUGUCAUAUAAAAUGAUGUUUUAGUGUGUGUUGAGCCAUAUGACAAUGCUGAUGUUUGAUAUUUUUGACCCCACAAUGCAUGACAAUAUUCAAAUGCACCCUGGUAGUGAGACAGUAAAUCGAGAAGCUUGGUGUAUUUUCACAACAUUUAGGCUUACUGGCAUUAAGCUUUUGUGAUAGGCGCACCAAAAACAAAACAAAACAAAAAAAAACCCAGAAAAUUGUCUCAAAGACUAGAAUCAAAUUGAGGAGAGUCAAUAAAAUCAUAAGAAAAAUAUCAAAAGCCGUAGAAGACAGUACAUGGGAGCUACUUUCCAAUUUCCAGUUUCCAGGUGCUAAGUACGGGAGAGCCCAGGAACUCUUUAGCACAAAAGAGAAGUGAUCCUUAGCUCAGUCAGGGAGAGUUCAAGAAGGAGCUGGGGCGUAAGUUAGGCCUUGAAGUCCUCAAAAGAUGUUUAGAAAGAGGGGAAUGUAAUUAAGAAAGAGGAAUAAGCAUCAUUAUUCCAUACCUUUUAUUUCAUACCAUUAUUUGCUAUUUCAUACCCUUUGUUCAGCCGUAGUGGCUCCUUUCUGUUCUUGUAAUCCACCAGGCAAUUUCCCACUGCAUGGCCUUUGCACUGGCUGUUCCCUUUGCCUAAAAUCUUCUUCCCCCUCAUCUGCCCAUGGAUAGGUCUUGUUUCUUAUUAAAUAUUACUUCCUGCUAGGCACAGUGGCUCAUGUCUAUAUUCCCAGCACUUUGGAAGGCCAAAGAGGGAGGAUCAUUUGAGGCCAAGAAUUCAAAACCAGCCUAGGCAACAUACAGAAUCCCUAUCUAAAAAAAAAAAAAAAAAAAA